ACCUCGAACUACAUACCAAAAGAAUCAAAACCGCAGCGGGUAGAGUUAGGACAUUUUAUUAGAGCCACCUGAAUGUCCCAAGAGGGCUUCAACCGAGUUCAGGCAUCUCCAUUUAUCUUACGCUGCCCACCAGUACACAGCUUGGUUUAGUAUUUCAGCUUGUCAAACAACAAAGAAUGAACAACACCUGUAUUGUUCCUCUGACUCUGGAAAAGUGAAAUGUAUAGACCACUAAACAUCAAAAUAUCCAAGCAGUUUACAUUGUGCAUUGCAAUAAUCCAGUCUUGAGGUAUGAAAUGCAUGAACCACUAUAGCUAAAUUAUCCCUGUCUGGAAUCAGUUGUAGCUGAUGUACCAGCUGAAGCUGGCAGACAACACUCUUAGGCCACUGUGGUCACUUCCAUUGACAGAAAUGAAUAUAAGAGCAUGCCCUAGGCUGCAAACCUUUUCCUUCAGAGGAAAUGUGACCCCACCCAGAACUGGCAAAUCUUCUAGAUUCCUUGUGGUAUAUUCAGUUCUUACAAUGCUGUGAACAACAAC